CAGCAGCCACGGUAAUACGUAGGUGGCAAGCGUUGUCCGGAUUUAUUGGGCGUAAAGCGAGCGCAGGCGGUUUCUUAAGUCUGAUGUGAAAGCCCCCGGCUCAACCGGGGAGGGUCAUUGGAAACUGGGAGACUUGAGUGCAGAAGAGGAGAGUGGAAUUCCAUGUGUAGCGGUGAAAUGCGUAGAUAUAUGGAGGAACACCAGUGGCGAAGGCGGCUCUCUGGUCUGUAACUGACGCUGAGGCUCGAAAGCGUGGGGAGCGAACAGGAUUAGAUACCCCUGUAGUCCCUGUCUCUUAUAC
rnacentral:rRNA from 1 species